GUUCCCUAGCGGUACCGGAGAUUUUUAGAUAAAGGAGAGGAAAUGGAUCUCCAGAUAGAUCCGUCUCACAACAGAACGCGUUAGAACCCAAAAUAAAUCAGAACCACCUAAAAAUAUGUAGCAAAAGUAAAUGACAUUAGGUCAACAGAACCUGGAAACUGGACCGGACUUGAGGAGCAGAACCUCCAGGAAAACUGACUGCGAGUCGUUAAAACAGGUGAUCUACCCACAAGACAAAAAGUCUUUGUUCUUGAAUCCACUGGUGGAAUCAAAACAAGACAUCCAGAAAUGUUUGCAAAUCACAAGGGCAUUUAUGAGGAAGAAGGGGAGCAAUGUCUCACGUUGGACAUGUGACCCAGUCAAGCAUCCAAAACAACAAGAUAGUUCAUCAUGUGGUGGAUUUUCACUGAAGGUUUCAGACAUAUUGUCACACAGUGUAUGACUUUAGGAUUUUGAUAUAUAUUUUGAGACAUGUACAGUGAAUUACUUACUUUGUUACUUAAAUUUAAAGACAUUAAAUGAAGCUGUUCAUUUCAGUUUGCAGAACAAAUCCUAUCAAAAGAGGUUGUGGACUUUCCUGUUUCCAGAGAGGCGGAUAAGUUUCCACAGCCUGAGACUUAUCCUUAACAUUAAUAUUCUUAUUUUCAGUGUUUAUGACAAUUGUUAUCAUGAUUACUAUUAUUUGUAUGUUUGGCUCAAACAUCUGUACUUAGCAAAACUUAAUACAUUAACAUGGACUCUGAAAACAUUUAUUUAAGGAAAUUGUUUGUCUACAAAUUAAUAAGUACAAUCAUUUUAUUUUCUAUAUUUGUUUCAUAAAUGACUGUGUUGGUGCUUAGCACAUCCUGUGUAAUAGUUUCAUACACACACACAUAUAUACGGUCACAAUUGUACAUGUAUAAUCGUGUGUGUGUUUUUAUACUUUUGUUGUUAACAGAGGACCUGAAAGACUUGUGUCACUUCUGUGGAGAGAUGGAAAGUGACACGGAGUUUGGCUAAGUACAGAUGUUUUAGCCAAACAUACAAAUAAUAGUAAUCAUGAUAACAAUUGUCAUAAACACUCAAAAUAUAUGGUUCCCCCUUAUAACUUUGUCAAAUAAAGAGGAAAUGUUACCAAACUUACAUGAUUUAUU